UGGGGAAUAUUGCACAAUGGGCGAAAGCCUGAUGCAGCGACGCCGCGUGAGGGAUGACGGCCUUCGGGUUGUAAACCUCUUUCAGCAGGGACGAAGCGCAAGUGACGGUACCUGCAGAAGAAGCACCGGCUAACUACGUGCCAGCAGCCGCGGUAAUACGUAGGGUGCAAGCGUUGUCCGGAAUUACUGGGCGUAAAGAGUUCGUAGGCGGUUUGUCGCGUCGUUUGUGAAAACCAGCAGCUCAACUGCUGGCUUGCAGGCGAUACGGGCAGACUUGAGUACUGCAGGGGAGACUGGAAUUCCUGGUGUAGCGGUGAAAUGCGCAGAUAUCAGGAGGUACACCGGUGGCGAAGGCGGGUCUCUGGGCAGUAACUGACGCUGAGGAACGAAAGCGUGGGUAGCGAACAGG
rnacentral:rRNA from 1 species